AAUCAACGCUGGCGGCGUGCCUCAGACAUGCAAGUCGAACGCGAUUUAUAUCUUCGGGUAUAGAUUGAGUGGCGCACGGGUGAGUAACACGUAGGUAAUCUACCUUUGGGUGGGGAAUAACAGCCGGAAACGGCUGCUAAUACCGCAUAAAGCAGCGGCAUCACAUGAUGACAGUUGUUAAAGCGGGGGAGUCUGAAAGGACCUCGCGCCAGAAGAGGAGCCUGCGGCAGAUUAGCUAGUUGGUGAGGUAACGGCUCACCAAGGCAACGAUCUGUAGCCGGCCUGAGAGGGCGGUCGGCCACACUGACACUGACAUACGGGUCAGACUCCUACGGGAGCAGCAGUCGGGAAUUUUGGGCAAUGGGCGAAAGCCUGACCCAGCAACGCCCGCGGUGAAGGAUGAAAUCUUUCGGGAUGUAAACUUCGCAAGAGUAGGAAGAAUAAGUAGGGAGUAACACCCUCUAUGAUGACGGUACUA
rnacentral:rRNA from 1 species